GUAAUGCACAAGGCCCUCCUCCUUUCUCGAGGAGCUGGGAGGCCAGGAAAGCAGCCCGGAGGAGAGCAAGCAGCUUUCUUACACGAAGGAAGAUGCUUUGCAAAUCAGUGAAUUGUAUAUUUCGAGGGGGCGGGUUAAUUUUUUUUAUUAUUAUUAUUGUUACUAUUCCAGAUUUGGAGGGGGGGGGGGGGGGGGAGAUCAGCAACCAAGAAGACCAAAAAGACCGAGGACACACGUGGUAGAGAAGUCUGAAUCCAAAACCUCUUUUUCUGACUUUACUUUUGAAACCCUUUGGAGUUUGGCAGGACAAGUAGCCACUGCCUCCCUGUGAUCUACUAACAAGGUUUAAAAAGGUUAGAUCCUCCAAUCAAGGAGAAGAAACAACAUCUUGGGACUCGGAUUGCGAACUCCCAUUGGCCAUCCUAUCCCACAAAUUGCAAAAAGUGGAAGUUGAAUAGUUCACGAACACCACUCAGAAUGAAAGUUGUUCUCAAAUCUGUUUGUCAAACUCCUACAAAUAAGAGACACAUUUACAGAGAUCACAAAUGAUGCCAAGAGCUGAAAAACAGGGCUACAUUUAUCAGACCAUGCACUCAUAAUCUAUCUGGCCAUCUCUAUUUUAAUACACACAAGACUCAGAUAAGUAACACAUAAAGACCAACUGGAACAGAAAACUCCAGAAGGGAAAGCUCCUUUGAAAUAUCUCUGAUGUUCCCAGAAAACUGAAUAUGCACCUAAAAUUGCCAAGAUUUUGCAGAUAAAAAAUUUUUUUUUCAUCACCGUGUUAAAGACUUUGGCAUUCAUUUCUGGCAGCAACAUCUGAACAGUGUUCUUUCUAUCAGCUUACAUCAGCCAUUAGCUGCAUUUUGUAUAUAUGCAAACAAGUACCAGGUACCAUGCCUUCUUACAUAAAAGCAUUUGUCCUAACUCUGCUUUGACAUUGAUUUCCGUGUUCUUUCAAUCCUUUUUGGCAGAGCUGCUGUCACAGUCUCUCACUAAACGUCAACUCAGCACCUUCUGCUGCUCUUAUCAUUGACAUCUGCAGGUUCUGAGAUGGGGUGACAAUAGAACAGCAAGUGACAAACCAAGUACCAUGGGACAAGAAGAAAGGGCACGUUACCCACAGGCAAGUUGGAGAGCUUUUCCAGAUGGGAUUUCACUGGUCUAUAAUAAAUGUUCCAGUCAUAAAAGGGGAGAGUCUCCGUGCUUAAAGAAACACAGGAAUAAACAGUGACCAAAGCAAAAAGAGAAAGAAAAACGUAGCUCUUUGGUGCAAAUUAAAGAAAAAAUACUGCAUGUAACACACCGUUGCUUCUCCUUAGCUAGGUGGCAUGAACAGACUCUGCUUCUAGAAAACUGGUUGUUGCAUAGGUGUGUGUCCACGUAGUGGCAGCUAUUUGAAUCCUAUUUUAUUUUUUAAAAAAUUAAUUAAAUGUUCUGACCUGAGAGCCUGAAGCCUUCUGUCUUCGGAGAAGGUACUUUAUGAGAACAGUGCAGCCCUCACUUCCCACUGCAGCCUGCCAAUAGGCUCAACCCUGAAUUGGAGGGGCCAU